rnacentral:rRNA from 1 species
AAAUUGAAGAGUUUGAUCAUGGCUCAGAUUGAACGCUGGCGGCAGGCCUAACACAUGCAAGUCGAACGGUAACAGGAAGCAGCUUGCUGCUUUGCUGACGAGUGGCGGACGGGUGAGUAAUGUCUGGGAAACUGCCUGAUGGAGGGGGAUAACUACUGGAAACGGUGGCUAAUACCGCAUAACGUCGCAAGACCAAAGAGGGGGACCUUCGGGCCUCUUGCCAUCAGAUGUGCCCAGAUGGGAUUAGCUUGUUGGUGAGGUAACGGCUCACCAAGGCGACGAUCCCUAGCUGGUCUGAGAGGAUGACCAGCCACACUGGAACUGAGACACGGUCCAGACUCCUACGGGAGGCAGCAGUGGGGAAUAUUGCACAAUGGGCGCAAGCCUGAUGCAGCCAUGCCGCGUGUAUGAAGAAGGCCUUCGGGUUGUAAAGUACUUUCAGCGGGGAGGAAGGUGUUGCGGUUAAUAACCGCAGCAAUUGACGUUACCCGC